AUUGAACGCUGGCGGCAUGCCUUACACAUGCAAGUCGAACGGCAGCACGGGAGCAAUCCUGGUGGCGAGUGGCGAACGGGUGAGUAAUAUAUCGGAACGUGCCCAGUCGUGGGGGAUAACGUAGCGAAAGCUACGCUAAUACCGCAUACGAUCUAUGGAUGAAAGCGGGGGAUCGCAAGACCUCGCGCGAUUGGAGCGGCCGAUAUCAGAUUAGGUAGUUGGUGAGGUAAAGGCUCACCAAGCCGACGAUCUGUAGCUGGUCUGAGAGGACGACCAGCCACACUGGGACUGAGACACGGCCCAGACUCCUACGGAGGCAGCAGUGGGGAAUUUUUGGACAAUGGGCGCAAGCCUGAUCCAGCAAUGCCGCGUGCAGGAUGAAGGCCUUC
rnacentral:rRNA from 1 species